GUGCGGAGAGGACGGAGCCAGGCUGCACCCGGUGGUGCCCAGCAGCGGGACCAGAGGCACUGGGCACACGCUGCAGCGCAGCAGGUUUCCCUGCAUUGCUGCCACGGCCGCGCUGCUUCCCCGUUUUGGGUAAUACUACUGAAUAUGUAUGUCUGGGCUAAUAAAUGUAUCGAGACCCCACUGUGGCGCGCAAGCUAGGAGGAGCGAUCCCCCUUGCACCCAGCGUGUGGCGCAGCGCUGAAAGAAGGACGUAUCUGCUCUCAUAACCUGACGUGGGUUCAUGAGUUUGAUUCCGCAGAUCAUUAGGGCACCCCAGAUGGGACACUCUCUGUUCGGCUGCAGGACCAGUUGAGGAGGGAGACGCCUUUGGCGCGCCCCGAGAAUUCUUGGUAGGACUCCCCCUGCUCAUCCUAUCACUGCAGGGACAGACGGGGACCAUCUGGAAGCGGACCAGACAAUCACUCAAUCUGUCAGGCCUCCCCUGCCUCAUUUCCAACCUUCCACUCAGCGAGCAGCUUUCUACCUCAGUCUUUAGUUUCUGAAAAAUCCUCAGGUGUGGCAUUCCGAAUCUGCAAACUCUGGUAUUCUUGAGUAACUCCAUCCUGUAAAGGACUGGAGGGAGAGCUUUUCUUCACACCUUGCUGUGUAUGAAAUCUACACUUGAACUGCACUUGAGACGGGCAGAAAUGUAGCUGAGCAGAGCCUCCAGCAGCUCAGCCCUUUCCUUCAAACUAUGAAGAAGGCUUUAAUAUUCGUGUUUGUAAUUGUUGGUGUAUAAUGCUCUGAUGGCAUCACAGACCACCUCCGCCGUGCUCAGGGGCUUUUCUGAGCUGCAGGCCCCACACUGCAGCCCCAUGGCACAGCCUCACAUCUGG